UACAGAGGGGGCAAGCGUUAUUCGGAUUUACUGGGCGUAAAGGGCGCGUAGGCGGUCGUGACAAGUCACUUGUGAAAUCUCCGGGCCUAACUCGGAACGGUCAAGUGAUACUGUCGGACUAGAGUACAGAAGGGGCAACUGGAAUUCUCGGUGUAGCGGUGAAAUGCGUAGAUAUCGAGAGGAACACCUGCGGCGAAGGCGGGUUGCUGGGCUGAUACUGACGCUGAUGCGCGAAAGCCAGGGGAGCGAACGGG
rnacentral:rRNA from 1 species